GAUGAACGCUGGCGGCGUGCCUAAUACAUGCAAGUCGAGCGAACAGACGAGGAGCUUGCUCCUCUGACGUUAGCGGCGGACGGGUGAGUAACACGUGGAUAACCUACCUAUAAGACUGGGAUAACUUCGGGAAACCGGAGCUAAUACCGGAUAAUAUAUUGAACCGCAUGGUUCAAUAGUGAAAGACGGUUUUGCUGUCACUUAUAGAUGGAUCCGCGCCGCAUUAGCUAGUUGGUAAGGUAACGGCUUACCAAGGCAACGAUGCGUAGCCGACCUGAGAGGGGGAUCGGCCACACGGGAACUGAGCCCCGGUCCAGACUCCUACGGGAGGAAGAGGUGGGGAAUCUUCCGAAAGGGGCGAAAGCCUGACGGAGCAACGCCGGGGGGGUGAUGAAGGUCUUCGGAUCGUAAAACUUUUUUAUUAGGAAAAAAAAAAUGUGAAAGUAACCUUGCCGGUUUUGACGGUACCUAAUCAAAAAGCCCCGGCUAACUCCGU
rnacentral:rRNA from 1 species